UCUUCAUGGAUGGGCAUGGCAAUAUGCGGACACGAACAAACCGGUCUGGGGGUGUACAGGGAGGAAUAUCAAAUGGAGAAACCAUUUACUUGAGAAUAGCUUUUAAGCCAACUUCUACUAUUGCG